rnacentral:rRNA from 1 species
UACGUAGGUGACAAGCGUUGUCCGGAUUUACUGGGCGUAAAGAGCGUGUAGGCGGUUUGGUAGGUCCGUUGUGAAAACUCGAGGCUCAACCUCGAGACGCCGAUGGAAACCAUCAGACUAGAGUCCGGAAGAGGAGAGUGGAAUUCCUGGUGUAGCGGUGAAAUGCGCAGAUAUCAGGAAGAACACCCGUGGCUAAGGCGGCUCUCUAGUACGGUACUGACGCUGAGACGCGAAAGCGUGGGGAGCGAACAGG